rnacentral:rRNA from 1 species
UCCUACGGGAGGCAGCAGUGAGGAAUAUUGGUCAAUGGACGAGAGUCUGAACCAGCCAAGUAGCGUGAAGGAUGACUGCCCUAUGGGUUGUAAACUUCUUUUAUAAAGGAAUAAAACGAGGCACGUGUGCCUUUUUGCAUGUACUUUAUGAAUAAGGAUCGGCUAACUCCGUGCCAGCAGCCGCGGUAAUACGGAGGAUCCGAGCGUUAUCCGGAUUUAUUGGGUUUAAAGGGUGCGCAGGCGGAGGUGCAAGUCAGCGGUCAAAUUGCGGGGCUCAACCCCGUACUGCCGUUGAAACUGCAUCC